GUAAAAUAACUACAUGUUUGAGGAGAAAUUAUGAGGUUCAUACACAAGUUUUUAUAAAUAGUUAUGAAGAUUCAGGUUGCAAGUGAUGGAAAUCCAAAUCAGACGAGCUUGAGCAAAAAAGAGUUUCCUUUUAUAGCUUAUAUAACCAGAAGUUCAGAAAGGGCAAACUCGGAUGCCAUCAUCUGAACUCACCUCUCUGCACCUCUUACCUCUGCUUUUUCUCUAGAGGACAUGAUCCUCCCAGACCUACUUCCACAAGCACAGAGAGCCUGCCAGUCUGCAGCAAGCCCCCAGCACAGCCCCACUGCUUAGUGAUUGGUGAGCUCCACGUUGACAAAGCUUGGGAAAGAAGUCUAGUAUCUAAAGCAAGCAGCUGAGGUAGCAGCCGGUAGAAGGGUCCUGAGAGGGAUGCAUACUUCACCUUCCCCGAGGGCGUGUUGAGCAAAUUUCCCACCCUAAAAAAUUGGGGUCUUCUUGAGUCACCCUGUGCAGUCUGAUCUUCAGUGUAAUAAAAGUCUGCUCAAGAGGAAAGCAAAGGAACACCUUGGAGGAGUGGAUGAGGACACCAAGGCAUAGAAAGUUGAAGGAACUUGGCCAAGAGCACACAGCUAAUGCAUGGUGACUCCAGGGGACAGAUGCCCUACAUGGCUGAUCACACUUGCCCAGUUGACCCUCUGCAACACUUCAUGAAAAAAGUAAAACAAAUCUCAGCAGCUUUUCAGAAGUUUCCAGAAAGCUCGGCUACCCAAAUCCUGCCAGGGCCCUUGUGAGCAUUCACAUCUCAUCCAACUCUGUUUUAUCUACUCUCAGCUCUCCGUGGGGGCCGUGGAAACCUUGUGUCCCCCACUCUUCUCAAGCACAGCAGGACUUCGGAUCGCAAAAAGGCAGGAGGAAGAAUGGGAACACUUACAGGGCAACCCUUUGUGUAUUAAAAAUGUUAUAUAUUUUUGCCUAUUCUGGUGGUGUGUGUGUGUGUGUUUGUGUGUGUCUAUGACAUACAUCACCAGAAUAGGCAAAUCCAUAGAGAGAGAAAGUAGAUUAAUGGUUGCCGAGGGCUGGGGGCCUGUGGGAAGGGUAGAGAGUGAUUGCUAAUAGUACGGGGUUUGUUUUCAGGGUAAGGAAACUGUUCUGAAAUUGAUUAUGAUGACAGUUGCACAGCUCAGUGAAUAUACUACUAAUAAAAAAAUCAU